UACGAAGGGGGGCUAGCGUUGCUCGGAAUUACUGGGCGUAAAGGGCGCGUAGGUGGCGUCGUAAGUCUGUGGUGAAAGCCCGGAGCUCAACUCCGGGUCUGCCGCGGAUACUGCGAGGCUUGAGUGCUGUAGAGGGGGGUAGAAUGCCGGGUGUAGCGGUGGAAUGCGUAGAGGUCCGGCAGAAGACCGGUGGCGAAGGCGGCCCCCUGGGCAGUAACUGACACUGAGGCGCGACAGCGUGGGGAGCAAACAGG
rnacentral:rRNA from 1 species